rnacentral:lncRNA from 1 species
CUGCUGUUGCUGCCCUCUGGGUUCUUGCCAGCUGGAUCCCAUCUUUCUUGAUGAACGCAAAACCGAAUGCAGGGAUCCAACUGAAGCUUUACCAGUGGGGAAGGAUAUUGUGGAGAUGUAGGCCUUAGGGGUACGCAGGUGAAGACAUGAGUGAAAUGGGGCCAACAACCGCCUGGAAAAUUCCAAUCUGAGCAGUUUUAAUAUUGACAAAAGCUGAAUACAAAAGAACUCUGUUGCAGCAACAGGAGCCAACAGUUCUGAACCAACUUCUGAACCAACAGUUUGCUGCUUGUAGAUUUCUUUUCCUCCCAUCAAUGCCUUCCGAUUUGGAGCUGAAAGACUUUAGGGGACGAAUGCUGACAGCAGGGCUGUUUGCUAAGUGACCUCAGGGCAGUGACCCUAACGUUGUGCUCAGUGUCUCACUUCGCUCCCAGUGUGGCUGCAGUGGGAUGUGUGCUCUGGCAGUGCCAUCCCAUGGCUCCCUGGGGACCCUUUGAUGGCAGCAGAAGAGUUGAGCCAUGCACAGCCAUGGGGGGCACAUCUCCACGUUCCUUGUGCCCCAGCAUGGUACUGAACACAUGCAAGAGGUGAGGAAGCUUCCAGCAAAUGAACAAGGACAACAGCUGCUUGUUCUUCAGAUGUGAUGGCAGAGAACUUUGGGAGUGUACUGGGAAUUCCUGAUGUGCUGGGGUGUAAUGGCUGAAGUGAGGCCCUUUUAAAUUUUGCAUUACAGGGACUGGGCUUUAACUGUUUGAUGUACCGAGGAAGGCAAAGGCAGGUAGCUGACACCUCCCUUGAAAUAAGAAUCUCUAUGAUGGUAUUCCUGAAGAAUCUCUCUUAUUGUUAUUGCGUCAGUUGGUGGGAUGGCAUAGCAUAAAUGCUGGGAAUGGGGAGUGCAGCCUCAUUUGUCAGGUACUGUAUGAGUCUCAGGGUUGGAAGAUUGCAGUUUGAGGAGGAGGACGACGGAAAGAUGAG